rnacentral:rRNA from 1 species
AUUGAACGCUGGCGGCAGGCUUAACACAUGCAAGUCGAGCGGGGUGAUGGUGCUUGCACUAUCACUUAGCGGCGGACGGGUGAGUAAUGCUUAGGAAUCUGCCUAUUAGUGGGGGACAACAUCUCGAAAGGGAUGCUAAUACCGCAUACGUCCUACGGGAGAAAGCAGGGGAUCACUUGUGACCUUGCGCUAAUAGAUGAGCCUAAGUCGGAUUAGCUAGUUGGUGGGGUAAAGGCCUACCAAGGCGACGAUCUGUAGCGGGUCUGAGAGGAUGAUCCGCCACACUGGGACUGAGACACGGCCCAGACUCCUACGGGAGGCAGCAGUGGGGAAUAUUGGACAAUGGGGGGAACCCUGAUCCAGCCAUGCCGCGUGUGUGAAGAGGGCCUUAUGGUUGUAAAGCACUUUAAGCGAGGAGGAGGCUUACCUAGUUAAUACCUGGGAUAAGUGGACGUUACUCGCAGAAUAAGCACCGGCUAACUCUGUGCCAGCAGCCGCGGUAAGAC